AAUAAAGCGGAGGAAAAGAAACUAACAAGGAUUCCCCUAGUAACUGCGAGUGAAGCGGGAAAAGCUCAAAUUUAAAAUCUGGCGGUCUUUGGCCGUCCGAGUUGUAGUCUGGAGAAGUGCUUUCCGCGCUGGACCGUGUACAAGUCUCUUGGAACAGAGCGUCAUAGAGGGUGAGAAUCCCGUCUUUGACACGGACUACCAGUGCUUUGUGAUGCGCUCUCAAAGAGUCGAGUUGUUUGGGAAUGCAGCUCUAAAUGGGUGGUAAAUUCCAUCUAAAGCUAAAUAUUGGCGAGAGACCGAUAGCGAACAAGUACCGUGAGGGAAAGAUGAAAAGCACUUUGGAAAGAGAGUUAAACAGUACGUGAAAUUGCUGAAAGGGAAACGCUUGAAGUCAGUCGCGUUGGCCGGGACUCAGCCUUGCUUUUGCUUGGUGCAUUUUCCGGUUGACGGGCCAGCAUCGAUUUUGACCGUCGGAAAAGGGCUGGGGAAAUGUGGCACCUUCGGGUGUGUUAUAGUCUCUAGUCGCAUACGGCGGUCGGGAUCGAGGAACGCAGCGCGCCGCAAGGCAGGGGUUCGCCCACUUUCGCGCUUAGGAUGCUGGCAUAAUGGCUUUAAACGACCCGUCUUGA
rnacentral:rRNA from 1 species